AGAUUUAUUUUUUGAAUGAUACAUUAUUAUUAUUUUUAUUUUAUAUAUUAUUUUUAUUUUUACUUUUAUUUUUAUUAGUAUCAAGGAUUACGAUCAGUUACAAUAGAAUUAUAUAAAAUUUGUCUUAUAUAUACAAUACAGACUAAAAUAGCCCCUUUAUGGAAUAAAGUUGGUGAAUAUUUAGUUCAAGGAAAAGAUUUUUAUAACUUUAUACAAGGAACCAGAGCAUUGAAAUUAGAUAUACUUAUAGAAGAAAAAAAUAUAUCUAUAAAAUUUCAAGCAGAAAUAAUUAAAAUUCCAUAUUUAAAACUUGAAGAUUAUUUUCCAUCAUCUGUUAUAUCUCAGUUUCUAGCAGAUCCUAAAGGAUAUAUUGAUUUAUCUCAUUAUAAUCCUCCAUUUGUAUAUGUAUUACCAAGUACAAAAAGAGGAAAAUUAUUAUCUGUAUCUAAAGAACUUCCAGCAAGAUGUGUUUUUAAAGAUUAUGAUCAAUUACGUAGACAUUGGAAAAAUAUGGUAUAAAU